rnacentral:rRNA from 1 species
GACGAACGCUGGCGGCGUGCUUAACACAUGCAAGUCGAACGGAAAGGCCCUGCUUUUGUGGGGUGCUCGAGUGGCGAACGGGUGAGUAACACGUGAGUAACCUGCCCUUGACUUUGGGAUAACUUCAGGAAACUGGGGCUAAUACCGGAUAGGAGCUCCUGCUGCAUGGUGGGGGUUGGAAAGUUUCGGCGGUUGGGGAUGGACUCGCGGCUUAUCAGCUUGUUGGUGGGGUGGUGGCUUACCAAGGCUUUGACGGGUAGCCGGCCUGAGAGGGUGACCGGCCACAUUGGGACUGAGAUACGGCCCAGACUCCUACGGGAGGCAGCAGUGGGGAAUAUUGCACAAUGGGCGGAAGCCUGAUGCAGCAACGCCGCGUGCGGGAUGACGGCCUUCGGGUUGUAAACCGAUUUCGCCUGUGACGAAGCGUGAGUGACGGUAAUGGGUAAAGAAGCACCGGCUAACUACGUG